CCUACGGGAGGCAGCAGUGAGGAAUAUUGGUCAAUGGACGCAAGUCUGAACCAGCCAUGUCGCGUGCAGGAAGACGGCCCUAUGAGUUGUAAACUGCUUUUGUACGAGGGUAAACGCAGAUACGUGUAUCUUUCUGUAAGUACCGUACGAAUAAGGAUCGGCUAACUCCGUGCCAGCAGCCGCGGUAAUACGGAGGAUUCAAGCGUUAUCCGGAUUUAUUGGGUUUAAAGGGUGCGUAGGCGGUCGGUUAAGUUAGGGGUGAAAUCCUGAGGCUCAACUUCGGAAUUGCAUUUGAUACUGUUCGGCUAGAGAGUAGUUGCGGUAGGCGGAAUGUAUGGUGUAGCGGUGAAAUGCUUAGAGAUCAUAAAGAACACCGAUUGCGAAGGCAGCUUACCAAGCUACUACUGACGUUGAGGCACGAAAGCGUGGGGAGCAAACAGGAUUAGAUACCCCUGUAGUC
rnacentral:rRNA from 1 species